GAAUCUGUAGUGUGCAAUGGAGUGGACAGCUCACUUUUCCAGCAGUCCCUGGACAUGGGGAACGUGGAUGUGUGUGACUACAGCGUCUCCGAGCUGGCAUGUGCCUCGUUGGCGAACUUCACCGUGGAUCACCUGGUCAAGUCACUGCAGUGUCACCUCCCCCGUCCCAACCCUGAGCCCAGAGCCGCAUGGAAGCUCCUCCUCACCAAGGCCUCCACCAUCUUGGAUCAGGCCCUGUAUGUCUUCACCAACCAGACGGAGACCAUUCAGGGCCCCUCUGUCCCUGUGGUUCUGGAUGUCAUCCGAGAGGUCCAAUUGGACCGGUUGCGACCGGAGGAGCUGAGAGACGGUGACGUCCUGUCGGACUGGUUCAUGGGAAGGUUGAGGCCGUUCCUCUCCUCUGCGUCGCCAGGGUUCCUGAGAUGUGUCAGCAGUAAGAACCUCAGCUGUAACGCCUACCAGCAUGUACUCCAGGCCUUCAGUCUGCAGCUGCCCCACACGAGUCCGCUGCAGAGGAACGCAGUUCUGUCCGACUUCAUCACACCCUUCCUGUCCAGGGG
ensembl:lncRNA